rnacentral:rRNA from 1 species
UGCAAGUCGAACGGCAGCACGGGAGCAAUCCUGGUGGCGAGUGGCGAACGGGUGAGUAAUAUAUCGGAACGUGCCCAGUCGUGGGGGAUAACGCAGCGAAAGCUGUGCUAAUACCGCAUACGAUCUAUGGAUGAAAGCGGGGGAUCGCAAGACCUCGCGCGAUUGGAGCGGCCGAUAUCAGAUUAGGUAGUUGGUGGGGUAAAGGCUCACCAAGCCGACGAUCUGUAGCUGGUCUGAGAGGACGACCAGCCACACUGGAACUGAGACACGGUCCAGACUCCUACGGGAGGCAGCAGUGGGGAAUUUUGGACAAUGGGCGCAAGCCUGAUCCAGCAAUGCCGCGUGCAGGAUGAAGGCCUUCGGGUUGUAAACUGCUUUUGUACGGAACGAAACGGUCUGCUCUAAUACAGUGGGCUAAUGACGGUACCGUAAGAAUAAGCACCGGCUAACUACGUGCCAGCAGCCGCGGUAAUACGUAGGGUGCGAGCGUUAAUCGGAAUUACUGGGCGUAAAGCGUGCGCAGGCGGUUAUAUAAGACAGAUGUGAAAUCCCCGGGCUCAACCUGGGACCUGCAUUUGUGACUGUAUAGCUAGAGUACGGCAGAGGGGGAUGGAAUUCCGCGUGUAGCAGUGAAAUGCGUAGAUAUGCGGAGG